UACGGGGGGGGCAAGCGUUGUUCGGAAUUACUGGGCGUAAAGGGCUCGUAGGUUGCCAACUAAGUCAGACGUGAAAUCCCUCAGCUUAACUGGGGAACUGCGUCUGAUACUGGAUGGCUUGAGUUUGGGAGAGGGAUGCGGAAUUCCAGGUGUAGCGGUGAAAUGCGUAGAUAUCUGGAGGAACACCGGUGGCGAAGGCGGCAUCCUGGACCAACACUGACACUGAGGAGCGAAAGCCAGGGGAGCAAACAGG
rnacentral:rRNA from 1 species